GAUUUGUCUGGUUAAUUCCGAUAACGAACGAGACUCUGGCCUAUUAAAUAGACGGUAUAUUUAAAAGUAUAUCGCGCUUCUUAGAGGGACAAGCGGCGUCUAGCCGCAUGAAAUAGAGCAAUAACAGGUCUGUGAUGCCCUUAGAUGUCCGGGGCUGCACGCGCGCUACACUGAAGGAAUCAGUGGGCGUGAUACCUAGUUCGGAAGAACCGGGUAACCCAAGUAAAUUCUUUCGUGCUUGGGAUAGGGAAUUGCAAUUAUUUCCCUUAAACGAGGAAUUCCCAGUAAAUGCGGGUCAUAAGCUCGCGUUGAUUACGUCCCUGCCCUUUGUA
rnacentral:rRNA from 1 species